rnacentral:rRNA from 1 species
CCAAGUCACGUGUCGGAUAUUGGGCGUAAGGGCUCGCAGGCGGUCUUGCUUAAGUCUGAUGUGAAAGCCCCCGGCUCAACCGGGGAGGGUCAUUGGAAACUGGGGAACUUGAGUGCAGAAGAGGAGAGUGGAAUUCCACGUGUAGCGGUGAAAUGCGUAGAGAUGUGGAGGAACACCAGUGGCGAAGGCGACUCUCUGGUCUGUAACUGACGCUGAGGAGCGAAAGCGUGGGGAGCGAACAGGAUUAGAUACCCUGGUAGUCCACGCCGUAAACGAUGAGUGCUAAGUGUUAGGGGGUUUCCGCCCCUUAGUGCUGCAGCUAACGCAUUAAGCACUCCGCCUGGGGAGUACGGUCGCAAGACUGAAACUCAAAGGAAUUGACGGGGGCCCGCACAAGCGGUGGAGCAUGUGGUUUAAUUCGAAGCAACGCGAAGAACCUUACCAGGUCUUGACAUCCUCUGACAAUCCUAAAGAUAGGACGUCCCCUUCGGGGGCAGAGUGACAGGUGGUGCAUGGUUGUCGUCAGCUCGUGUCGUGAGAUGUUGGGUUAAGUCCCGCAACGAGCGCAACCCUUGAUCUUAGUUGCCAGCAUUCAGUUGGGCACUCUAAGGUGACUGCCGGUGACAAACCGGAGGAAGGUGGGGAUGACGUCAAAUCAUCAUGCCCCUUAUGACCUGGGCUACACACGUGCUACAAUGGACAGAACAAAGGGCAGCGAAACCGCG